UUGCCCUAGUAACGGCGAGUGAAGCGGCAACAGCUCAAAUUUGAAAUCUGGCCUUCUUUGGGGGUCCGAGUUGUAAUUUGCAGAGGGCGCUUUGGCGUCGGCAGCGGUCUAAGUUCCUUGGAACAGGACGUCACAGAGGGUGAGAAUCCCGUACGUGGUCGCCUGCCUUCGCCGUGUAAAGCCCCUUCGACGAGUCGAGUUGUUUGGGAAUGCAGCUCUAAAUGGGAGGUAAAUUUCUUCUAAAGCUAAAUACUGGCCAGAGACCGAUAGCGCACAAGUAGAGUGAUCGAAAGAUGAAAAGCACUUUGGAAAGAGAGUCAAACAGCACGUGAAAUUGUUGAAAGGGAAGCGCUUGCCGCCAGACUUGCCCGUGAAGGUUCUCCUCCUCGGGCAGGCCAGCAUCAGUUUGAGCGAUCGGAUAAUGGCCUCUGUCAUGUAUCUUCCUUCGGGAUGACCUUAUAGGGGAGUCGUAGUACGGUCAGCUUGGACUGAGGUCCGCGCAUUUGCUAGGAUGCUGGCGUAAUGGCUGCAAGCGGCCCGUCUUGAAACACGGACCAAGGAGUCUAACAUCUAUGCGAGUGUUUGGGUGUCAAGCCCGAGCGCGCAAUGAAAGUGAACGGAGGUGGGAACCCUCUCUGGGGGUGCACCAUCGACCGAUCCUGAAGUCUUCGGAUGGAUUUGAGUAAGAGCAUGGCUGUUGGGACCCGAAAGAUGGUGAACUAUGCUUGAAUAGGGUGAAGCCAGAGGAAACUCUGGUGGAGGCUCGCAGCGGUUCUGACGUGCAAAUCGAUCGUCAAAUUUGGGCAUAGGGGCGAAAGACUAAUCGAAC
rnacentral:rRNA from 1 species